rnacentral:rRNA from 1 species
CCUACGGGGGGCUGCAGUGGGGAAUAUUGGACAAUGGGGGGAACCCUGAUCCAGCCAUGCCGCGUGUGUGAAGAAGGCCCUCGGGUUGUAAAGCACUUUCAGUGAGGAAGAACGCCUGGUGGUUAAUACCCAUCAGGAAAGACAUCACUCACAGAAGAAGCACCGGCUAACUCCGUGCCAGCAGCCGCGGUAAUACGGAGGGUGCGAGCGUUAAUCGGAAUUACUGGGCGUAAAGCGCGCGUAGGUGGCUUGAUAAGCCGGUUGUGAAAGCCCCGGGCUCAACCUGGGAACGGCAUCCGGAACUGUCAAGCUAGAGUGCAGGAGAGGAAGGUAGAAUUCCCGGUGUAGCGGUGAAAUGCGUAGAGAUCGGGAGGAAUACCAGUGGCGAAGGUGGCCUUCUGGACUGACACUGACACUGAGGUGCGAAAGCGUGGGUAGCAAACAGGAUUAGAUACCCCAGUAGUC